UACGAAGGGGGGCUAGCGUUGUUCGGAAUUACUGGGCGUAAAGCGCACGUAGGCGGACAUUUAAGUCAGGGGUGAAAUCCCGGGGCUCAACCCCGGAACUGCCUUUGAUACUGGGUGUCUUGAGUCCGGAAGAGGUGAGUGGAAUUGCGAGUGUAGAGGUGAAAUUCGUAGAUAUUCGCAAGAACACCAGUGGCGAAGGCGGCUUACUGGUCCGGAACUGACGCUGAGGUGCGAAAGCGUGGGGAGCAAACAGG
rnacentral:rRNA from 1 species